GGCGAACGCUGGCGGCGUGCUUAACACAUGCAAGUCGAACGAAGAGCGAUGGAAGCUUGCUUCUAUCAAUCUUAGUGGCGAACGGGUGAGUAACGCGUAAUCAACCUGCCCUUCAGAGGGGGACAACAGUUGGAAACGACUUCUAAUACCGCAUACGAUCUAAACUCGGCAUCGAGGAUAGAUGAAAGGUGGCCUCUACAUGUAAGCUAUCACUGAAGGAGGGGAUUGCGUCUGAUUAGCUAGUUGGAGGGGUAACGGCCCACCAAGGCGAUGAUCAGUAGCCGGUCUGAGAGGAUGAACGGCCACAUUGGGACUGAGACACGGCCCAGACUCCUACGGGAGGCAGCAGUGGGGAAUCUUCCGCAAUGGACGAAAGUCUGACGGAGCAACGCCGCGUGAGUGAUGACGGCCUUCGGGUUGUAAAGCUCUGUUAAUCGGGACGAAAGGCCUUCUUGCGAAUAGUGAGAAGGAUUGACGGUACCGGAAGAGAAAGCCACGGCUAACUACGUG
rnacentral:rRNA from 1 species